CCUACGGGGUGCAGCAGUGAGGAAUAUUGGUCAAUGGACGGAAGUCUGAACCAGCCAUGCCGCGUGCAGGAAGACGGCUCUAUGAGUUGUAAACUGCUUUUGUACAAGGGUAAACCUGAAUACGUGUAUUCAGCUGAAAGUACUGUACGAAUAAGGAUCGGCUAACGCCGUGCCAGCAGCCGCGGUAAUACGGAGGAUCCAAGCGUUAUCCGGAUUUAUUGGGUUUAAAGGGUGCGUAGGCGGAUUGAUAAGUUAGAGGUGAAAUUGCCGGGCUUAACUCGGGAACUGCCUCUAAUACUGUUGAUCUAGAGAGUAGAUGCGGUAGGCGGAAUGUAUGGUGUAGCGGUGAAAUGCUUAGAGAUCAUACAGAACACCGAUUGCGAAGGCAGCUUACCAAUCUAUAUCUGACGUUGAGGCACGAAAGCGUGGGGAGCAAACAGGAUUAGAUACCCCAGUAGUC
rnacentral:rRNA from 1 species